rnacentral:lncRNA from 1 species
CACAAUUUUGAUCAGGGUGAUAAAACCAGGAGAUAGGAUUGACAAGAUUUGGCUAUACUGGUUGCAAAUGACCAGCAUUCUUCAAUCUUUCAAACAAUUGGGUGCAACUUUCAGCUAGUGGGGUGAAGUUUCGGGGAGGUUUCUUUUGGUGGUUUGGACGCUGGGGGUUAUACAGGCUUAGGUUUGUAGGUGGGGGUACUUGGUGGUAAUUUG